AACGGCAAUAAGGUAAUUGCCACUAAUUUGCUUAAUGAAGUCUAUUAUUAGGGGGCAAUUGAACAUUUGCCGGUAAUAAUUUCCCUCUUAAGUAUAAUAUUUUAUUUCUAUUUCCAGUUAGAAUCAAUUCAGUUCCUUUCAACCAAAUAACCUCAGAGCCACCCCAACAGAGAUACCAUUGUUCAUCUUCUCCGACGAACUCCUCGCCGUCUCUAUCGCUAUCUCCGGCGAAAUCCUCGCCGUCUCUAUCUCUAUCUCCGGCGAACUCCUUGAAUUUCUCCAGUGAAAAUGACUGGUAAGUUCCUCCAUAAUAUAUACUCCCUCUGUUCUAGAUGCAUUUUUUAGGGUUUCUGUUCUCACAGUUCCAAAUCAGUAAUAAUCUAGCGCCUUACUUCUGAGAGCAAGUUCGUGGAACAAAAUUGAGAGCAAAAUUGCGGAACGAAAUUGAGAGUAGCUAUGAUCGAAGGUUUUUUGAUUGAUUUGGGAGAACAGAAAAUGAAAAUAAAGCUUGUGGCUAACCUAUUUGUGAAAAUGCCUCACAGACUACUUUUUGCAUUAGAGAAUACCUUUACACACUUCCCUGAGUGUUGGAUUCCUAGUUUAAAAGAUGCAUAAUUUUUUUUUUUUUUUUUUAUCUUUUAGUUGCUAAAUCCAGGUUAGGUUUAUCAUUUGCAGGGGUUGACAAAAGCUAAAGCGAUAGGCUUUGGUCAUGCCGUGUUCUUUUUGUUUUCAGUUGAAUAUAACAAGUUUUUCUUCAAUGGCAAUCGACUAACCAUAUAGGCAUAGUGAUUAUGCCUGAUAAUUGCAUAUGAACAUGCUGUUUCUUAUUGAUUGGUAUCUACAGUUUCCUUGUGUAUGCUGUUCAAUAUUUACAAGUUUUCUUCACUGUUAGUCAACUAAUCAAAUUGUGAUUAUGCGUGGUACUUGGCUAACACUAACGCACUCCAACAUAAUUCCUGGAAGUUCUUGUUUAAAGUUGGAUAUGUACCAUCAAAUUUUGAAAAGUAUCCAUUAGGAGGCAUCAUACCAGCCAUUGAAAGUGUUUUUCAUACAACUUCGGAGUUGAUAUGCUCAGGCCAUGUCCUGGAGGAACUUCAUAUAUGGUUCUAUAAGAAUUUUGAGAUACUGAACUCAUGUGACAAAGCUUGUAGUAUGGCGAAACAGUUGUGAAUGCAUAUCUACACAUGGCUGAACUGUUUGACAGCCACACUGAAAUUCCUACUGUAAACAUGUCAGACAUUAUGAGGUCUAACAGUUUGGAUUGUGUACCCUGUUGAGAAAAGUGGUGCAAGAAAUUAAUCGGCAGAUAUCUACUCAAGCUGAACAUCUUAAAACGCAAAACAAUCUAUUAAAGCCUCGUGAAGAGAAAUACCAGUUAAGGAUCAGAGUCUUCGAAGCCCUCGCGACUGGGACUAGUGAAAAAAUACAGGAACUUAAACAACGCACACAAAAAUAGCUGCCAAGAUAUCGCAUUGUUAAUAAGGGGAGCAGAUGAUCAAGAAUAUCAAGAAUAAUACAUUGUUAAGGAGCGACUUGGUUUACAACAUGAUGUGUAGUUACAUUGUACGUUAGAUACUUUCAUCUUUUACAAGUUGCUAUAUGAGUUGGUGUGUUAGAAAUAUUGUUCGUAUAUUUUAAGGUUCGUAUAUUUCUUUGAGGAAUACAAAUACGUUGUUCUAAGUUUGAUUAUUCUAGUAAGAAUCUUCUAAUUAAUUUCUAUUUUGA